rnacentral:rRNA from 1 species
AACGAACGCUGGCGGCAGGCUUAACACAUGCAAGUCGAACGCCCCGCAAGGGGAGUGGCAGACGGGUGAGUAACACGUGGGAACCUUCCUAGAGGUACGGAACAACUCAGGGAAACUUGAGCUAAUACCGUAUACGCUCUUGCGAGGAAAGAUUUAUCGCCUUUAGACGGGCCCGCGUCGGAUUAGCUAGUUGGUAGGGUAAAGGCCUACCAAGGCUAUGACGGUUAGGGGUCCCGAGAGGGAGAACCCCCACACUGGGACUGCGACACGGCCCAGACUCCUACGGGAGGCAGCAGUUUGGAAUUUUGCACAAUGGGCGAAAGCCUGAUGCAGCGACGCCGCGUGGACGAUGAAGGCCUUCGGGUUGUAAAGUCCUUUUGCUCGGGAACAAUUUUUGAGCGUACCGAGAGAAUAAGAGGUUGCUAACUCUGUGCCAGCCGCCGCGGUAA